GAUGAACGCUGGCGGCGUGCCUAAUACAUGCAAGUCGAGCGAACAGACGAGGAGCUUGCUCCUCUGACGUUAGCGGCGGACGGGUGAGUAACACGUGGAUAACCUACCUAUAAGACUGGGAUAACUUCGGGAAACCGGAGCUAGUACCGGAUAAUAUAUUGAACCGCAUGGUUCAAUAGUGAAAGACGGUUUUGCUGUCACUUAUAGAUGGAUCCGCGCCGCAUUAGCUAGUUGGUAAGGUAACGGCUUACCAAGGCAACGAUGCGUAGCCGACCUGAGAGGGUGAUCGGCCACACUGGAACUGAGACACGGUCCAGACUCCUACGGGAGGCAGCAGUAGGGAAUCUUCCGCAAUGGGCGAAAGCCUGACAGAGCAACGCCGCGUGAGUGAUGAAGGUCUUCGGAUCGUAAAACUCUGUUAUUAGGGAAGAACAAAUGUGUAAGUAACUAUGCACGUCUUGACGGUACCUAAUCAGAAAGCCACGGCUAACUACGUG
rnacentral:rRNA from 1 species